ensembl:snRNA U2 U2 spliceosomal RNA
AGCACUGUUUUUGUACUGAUUUCUAAUAAAACAUAAAAACAAAUCUGUUCUUAUCAGUUUAAUAUCUGAUACGUCCCCCAUCGGGGGACCACAUAUUAAAUGGAUUUUUGGAACAGGGAGCUGUAUCAGGAGCUUGCUCCGUCCUCUCCACGCAUUGGCCCGGUAUUGCAGCGCCUCCGGGAGCGGUGCACCACCU